rnacentral:rRNA from 1 species
UACGUAGGUGGCAAGCGUUGUCCGGAUUUAUUGGGUUUAAAGGGUGCGUAGGCGGGUUAUUAAGUCAGUGGUGAAAGCCUACAGCUUAACUGUAGAAUUGCCAUUGAUACUGAUGAUCUUGAGUAUGAUUGAGGUGGGCGGAAUGUGUCAUGUAGCGGUGAAAUGCUUAGAUAUGACACAGAACACCGAUUGCGAAGGCAGCUCACUAAGUCAUAACUGACGCUGAUGCACGAAAGCGUAGG